rnacentral:rRNA from 1 species
UACGUAGGUGGCAAGCGUUUAUCCGGAAUUAUUGGGCGUAAGCGCGCGCAGGUGGUUUCUUAAGUCUGAUGUGAAAGCCCACGGCUCAACCGUGGAGGGUCAUUGGAAACUGGGAGACUUGAGUGCAGAAGAGGAAAGUGGAAUUCCAUGUGUAGCGGUGAAAUGCGUAGAGAUAUGGAGGAACACCAGUGGCGAAGGCGACUUUCUGGUCUGUAACUGACACUGAGGCGCGAAAGCGUGGGGAGCAAACAGG